CCUACGGGAGGCAGCAGUGGGGAAUAUUGCACAAUGGGGGAAACCCUGAUGCAGCGACGCCGCGUGAGUGAAGAAGUAAUUCGUUAUGUAAAGCUCUAUCAGCAGGGAAGAACAUGACGGUACCUGAGUAAGAAACCCCGGCUAAAUACGCGCCAGCAGCCGCGGUAAUACGGAGGGGGCAAGCGUUAUCCGGGUUUACUGGGUGGAAAGGGAGCGUAGACGGCAGUGCAAGUCUGGAGUGAAAGGCGGGGGCUCAACCCCCGGACUGCUCUGGAAACUGUACGGCUGGAGUGCAGGAGAGGUAAGUGGAAUUCCUAGUGUAGCGGUGAAAUGCGUAGAUAUUAGGAGGAACACCAGUGGCGAAGGCGGAUGACUGGACUGUAACUGACGUUGAGGCUCGAAAGCGUGGGGAGCAAACAGGAUUAGAUACCCCUGUAGUC
rnacentral:rRNA from 1 species